GACAGAGGGUGCAAACGUUGUUCGGAAUUACUGGGCGUAAAGCGCGUGUAGGCGGCUCGCGCAAGUCGGGUGUGAAAGCCCUGGGCUCAACCUAGGAAGUGCACUCGAAACUGCGCAGCUUGAAGUCUGGAGAGGAAGGCGGAAUUCUCGGUGUAGAGGUGAAAUUCGUAGAUAUCGAGAGGAACACCGGUGGCGAAGGCGGCCUUCUGGACAGCACUUGACGCUGAGACGCGAAAGCGUGGGGAGCAAACAGG
rnacentral:misc_RNA from 1 species